GAUGAACGCUGGCGGCGUGCCUAAUACAUGCAAGUCGAGCGAACAGACGAGGAGCUUGCUCCUCUGACUUUAGCGGCGGACGGGUGAGUAACACGUGGAUAACCUACCUAUAAGACUGGGAUAACUUCGGGAAACCGGAGCUAAUACCGGAUAAUAUAUUGAUCCGCAUUGUUCUAUAGUGAAAGACGUUUUUUCUGUCACUUAUAGAUGGAUCCGCGCUGCUUUAGCUAGUUGGUAAGGUAACGGCUUACCAAGGCGACGAUGCGUAGCCGACCUGAGAGGGUGAGCGGCCACACUGGAACUGAGACACGGACCAGACUCCUACGGGAGGCAGCAGUAGGGAAUGUUCCGCAAUGGGCGAAAGCAUGACGGAGCAACGCCGCGUGAGUGAUGAAGGUCUUCGGAUCGUAAAAAUCUGUUAUUAGGGAAGAACAAAUGUGUAAGUAACUAUGCACGUCUUGACGGUACCUAAUCAGAAAGCCACGGCUAACUACGUG
rnacentral:rRNA from 1 species